AUGACUUUUCAGCCGCUCGUGGGAACAUCUGCAGGCACGAGGAGAAGCGAGGAUUCUGGCUGGUUUGGAGCUGCCUUGCAUUUGAAGAUGAUGCGAUUGCUGUUCCUGUGUCUGCUGCUGCUGCUGCCGACCACCACUGCUGCUUCAGAUGACGUUGAAGGAUCAGCUGAUGGAGAUGUGGAUGAUGAGGAUCUCAAUGAGGACCCAGAUUUCCUUGCAAAAUAUGGUUCUGGCCUGGGUGUAGCCGGAUCGAUGGGAGAUGAGGAACGACCAGAUCACUUCAUCAUGGUCGUCAUCGUUGUAGCCGUGGCGGCGCUCACCCUUUCAGUUGCAGCAAUAGUCAGGUGUACUCCGUGCCUGUGGAACAGCAUCAGAAAGGGGUCUAGAGACUGGCGACUACUCGGUCCCACGGCCGACAGCAAUCAAACGCACCACUACAGUCCUUCGACCUUCUCCACUCAUGACAGUUAG
rnacentral:lncRNA from 1 species